ACAGCGAAUCUGUUCUUGUGGUCGCAUCCGUCUUAAAGGAUUUUCUUAGAAAUAUCCCAGGAAGUAUAUUUUCAUCCGAUCUCUAUGACCAAUGGCUCGGUGUUAUUGAUCAAGGGAGCGAAGAGGAGAAGAUAACCGCAGCCCAGAGGCUUUUAGCGCAGCUGCCAAGAGCAAAUGUCGUUCUCGUGCGAUACCUUUUUGGAGUG